ACGAACGCUGGCGGCGUGCUUAACACAUGCAAGUCGAACGAUGAAAGGAAGCUUGCUUCCUGGAUUAGUGGCGAACGGGUGAGUAACACGUGAGUAACCUGCCCUCCACUCUGGGAUAAGCACUGGAAACGGUGUCUAAUACCGGAUACGACAACUGACGGCAUCGUCUGGUUGUGGAAAGAAUUUCGGUGGGGGAUGGACUCGCGGCCUAUCAGCUUGUUGGUGAGGUAAUGGCUCACCAAGGCGACGACGGGUAGCCG
rnacentral:rRNA from 1 species